CUAGCGGUAAACGAUGGAUACUAGGCGUAGUGCUGUUAGAAGGACUGUGCCGAAGCUAACGCGUUAAGUAUCCCGCCUGGGGAGUACGCACGCAAGUGUGAAACUCAAAGGAAUUGACGGGGACCCGCACAAGCGGUGGAGUAUGUGGUUUAAUUCGAUGCAACGCGAAGAACCUUACCAAGGCUUGACAUCCUGCGAAUCUUGGAGAAAUCUGAGAGUGCCUAAGGGAACGCAGAGACAGGUGG
rnacentral:rRNA from 1 species